GACAAAUCAAAGCUAUAAAAUGGAGAUCAAGAGGUGAAAAGGACACCAAAAAGACGAAAUAAAAACACGAAAAAUACUUCUAAAAAUUCGGAGGCGCUUAACUUGAAAUUUUCCUCUGUUUUCCUUCUACUUUCUUCUCCCUUUUCCCUCGAUCAGCCGCUGCCCCAGUGCACCGGCCAUCCUUCAUUGCCUACACCCCCGUCGCCUGUUCCAAAUCAUCGUUGCCCGGUUAGCCGACCAUUGUUUCGCCGCUGUACCCGCCAGGCCGCCUAUUUCCCUGCUUCGCCGCGCCACAGUUGCUCCUGAUCCAGCAGGCCACCGCUAGUUCGUCAGCUCGUCAUCUUUGCCACCGCCCUACUUCGCCACUGCUACUGCCCGCCGCCAAUCCGCCCAGCCGACUAUCCCUGCUUCAAGCCGCCCAGGUAGCUUAUUUCUUUUCUUUUAAUUUUAUUUAUUUAUUAUUAUUGUUAUUAUUAUUAUUUUAUUCUUUCUUUUUAGAUUAUUUUGGCUUACCUUUUAUUUUGCAGCUCAUUAUUUUUCGGUAACUAUUCGGAGUUCUCGUUGCCAGAAACCGAAGCACUUUGAAUUAUGGGACGACCAAACGUGCCAGUUCAAAAAACCAAAGGAAACAGAGAAUAAAAUUUUCUGGAGAAGUUUUUAUAUUUUUUUCUAUAAUUUAUUAUUAUUAUUAUUAUUAUUAUUAUUAUUAUGAAUUGGGUUUCCAUUUUAAAAAAUAUUUUUUUUACCUUUUUAAAAUAUCAAUUUUAAUCCUUAAAGAAAGAAAAAAAAUUAAAAAUUUGAAAUUGCAAAAGUGUCUAGCAAAUCCUUUUAUUUCCCACAUAGUCACUAAUUCUAAAAUUCAUUUUUUAGUAGAAUUAUUAUUUUAUUCCAUAGACAUAUAUGUAUGAGCUAUAUUGCUCUUUAUGGUUGAUGAAAGAUUAGAUGUAUGAUUUGACGAAUAAUUUAAGGUAUUAUUAUGUAUAUUUUUAUGCUUAAUUCUGAAUAUGUUUGUGUAUAAUUUCAUGUGUGAUUAAAUAAGUAUAUG
rnacentral:lncRNA from 1 species